UACGAAGGGUGCAAGCGUUACUCGGAAUUACUGGGCGUAAAGCCGUGCGUAGGUGGUUUGUUAAGUCUGAUGUGAAAGCCCUGGGCUCAACCUGGGAAUUGCAUUGGAUACUGGCAGGCUAGAGUGCGGUAGAGGGUAGUGGAAUUCCCGGUGUAGCAGUGAAAUCGCGUAGAGAUCGGGAGGAACAUCUGUGGCGAAGGCGACUACCUGGACCAGCACUGACACUGAGGCAC
rnacentral:rRNA from 1 species